UCGGGAGUCGUCUAAUGGUAGGACGUCAGGUUUUGGUCCUGGAAAUCCUGGUUCGAAUCCAGGCUCCCGAG
rnacentral:tRNA from 1 species